rnacentral:rRNA from 1 species
UACAGAGGGUGCAAGCGUUGUUCGGAAUUAUUGGGCGUAAAGCGCGUGUAGGCGGCCUUGCAAGUCGGGUGUGAAAGCCCUCAGCUCAACUGAGGAAGCGCGCCCGAAACUGCAGAGCUUGAGUACCGGAGAGGAUGGCGGAAUUCCCGGUGUAGAGGUGAAAUUCGUAGAUAUCGGGAGGAACACCAGUGGCGAAGGCGGCGACCUGGGCCAAUAUUGACGCUGAGGUGCGAAAGCGUAGGGAGCAAACAGG